ensembl:processed_transcript predicted gene 15270
CCGUCCCUUCCGUCAGUCCCGAGGCUUACCCGGGUGCAGAGGGCGAGGAGCACCAAGGCGAGGCUGAUGGGACCUGCGACGGAGGCGAGCAUCGUCGGGACGCGGCGGGAGGAUGCACAGCAGGGUGCAGAGGCGACGAGAGGCGCGGCCGGAGCCUGGACUCGGACAGGGGCGGAGAACCCCUUGCAAUAUGCACUGUGUGUGAAGACAGCAGAGCAUAGGGACCUUGGAGAUCAUUCAGCGGAAACAUGAGACCACCCCCUUCAGAGUAUACAAGGUGGAAGACAGCGCCGAUGGGAUGGGGUGUGGCUUCCUGCUCUGAUAACCUCAAGGUUGGUAUGCUGAGUUGCUGGUGACUAAGCAAAGCCUGACACAGCUUCACAAGAGGUCCCUCAAACUCUGACCACCAUGGAGACUUGGCAAUCCAUUCAGACUGCUUUGAGAAGCAGUUCAAAAGUGAUUUGUAUUCUAUG